AUUGGGCGUAAAGCGAGCGCAGGCGGUUAGAUAAGUCUGAAGUUAAAGGCUGUGGCUUAACCAUAGUAUGCUUUGGAAACUGUUUAACUUGAGUGCAGAAGGGGAGAGUGGAAUUCCAUGUGUAGCGGUGAAAUGCGUAGAUAUAUGGAGGAACACCGGUGGCGAAAGCGGCUCUCUGGCUUGUAACUGACGCUGAGGCUCGAAAGCGUGGGGAGCAAACAGGAUUAGAUACCCUGGUAGUCCACGCCGUAAACGAUGAGUGCUAGGUGUUAGACCCUUUCCGGGGUUUAGUGCCGUAGCUAACGCAUUAAGCACUCCGCCUGGGGAGUACGACCGCAAGGUUGAAACUCAAAGGAAUUGACGGGGGCCCGCACAAGCGGUGGAGCAUGUGGUUUAAUUCGAAGCGACGCGAAGAACCUUACCAGGUCUUGACAUCCCUCUGACCGCUCUAGAGAUAGAGCUUUCCUUCGGGACAGAGGUGACAGGUGGUGCAUGGUUGUCGUCAGCUCGUGUCGUGA
rnacentral:rRNA from 1 species